GUCAGCAGGAAGAAAAGCAGUAUAUCUGCUGCUGCUGCCUGCUUUUCCAAGGAGCUUUUUUUAAUACUUCAGGGAACAAGAAGAUUGCUGCCGCCACUUUUGCAUGAUCUUCCUACAAAUUAGGAACUGAAAAGGUCCAGGGAGCAUCUCCUGCUCAGUCUUUAGCCAGAAGCUCACUGAACGUCAUCAUUAACAGGCCAAUCGUAGCAUGAAGAGCCCUCCCACUGAUAAGAUAUUUAGGUAGGUGUAAAUAGACGGAAGACAGAAGAGAGGAGAGCGACGCAACAUAUACUUACUUCUCGGUUUAUCCGAAUCUUAGCAAGCCCAAGUGGACACAGGUUCAAGAGAAAAAGAGAUCAGAGACAGACAGAUUAGUGAGACACAAUCUGAGGAAGGGCGGAACAUUUAGUAGAGGGAACACACUGAACAGCAACACAGACAAGCAGAAAAGGAGCAGCAAUGAACUCUGGGAUUGAGUGUGGCCUCAUUCAACUCAAUUAACUAAUUCAAACCAAGAAGAGCUAGAACUAAACACACAUCCAUAUUUGAAAUCCGCGCCACUUCCAAUUUCGCCAUUCCAACUUUAAUCUGACAUUUAAAUUUGAGUGUUGAAGAUGACAUUUUUUCCUUCGAAAUUUGCAUUGAAGUUCGCAUGGCAAAACUGGAAGUGGUGGUGAAUUUCAAGUAUUUGUGAAUGGACAGGUCACCUAAGAGCAUAAUUGUCUCAGGGCAACAGUGCUGAGAAAUGAACACUUCUGCAUCUGACAACAAGGGACUGAGAGACACAAUACUGAUGGUAUAGCCUCUGCAAUAGUUCUGCACAUACAUCUAAGCCCAUCCUGAUCUGCUUCCACACCAUCCUCCAUGGACGGGGAAAGGAAAUGGAAUCACUAGUCUCUGAAAGUGAAGAGGGCUCCAAAAAGAAUUGAAAUGGCUGCAUACAGAUGCAGGGAGAAGAAACUUGAAGGGUGAGAGAGCAAGAAACGAGGGAAGCAAUAGAGACCAAGACAAUUCUAUAGAUAACACAACCAUGAAGGUUUCUAUGAGACCAAAAAGAAAAAAGAAAACACUCAAACACAUAACUCUGGGAUUUUGCUGAAGAGGAGGCUGUUGGUGAAGCAAGGGGAAAUGGCCAAGGCAUCAAGGUACUUACAUCAAUGUAGUUGGCAUUGAUAUAGUCCGAGUUGGGAUCGCCCAGGAGCGGGUGGAGCUUUACUCGAUGACGGUCAUCUGAAAACAAAACAAGAAGGGCCCAUCAAUGAAGGGGGGAUCGUAAUCACUUGAAUUUAACAUACCAUAAGCUUGGAGUAGUCUACAAUUAAGCUUCCUAUCAUUUUCUGCAGAGGAGGUUCUCGAGACAUCUAUAUCCAGAAGCAAAUCGAGUGUGUCAGAGCAGAUACCGAUGCUUCCGAACCAGCCAGCAACAGGCUACCUCUCUAAACAGGCACUACAUAUCGGUGUGCAAGAAGAAGUGAAAUGUCAGAGAAGCCACCGCCUCUUGUAGAGAAACCAAAUUAGAAGUGAUGGGAGAGUGAAUGCAAUCGUACAAGCCUGUGAGCUUCACCCUGCAGGGAAAUAAAUUGGGAUAUAAGAUGACCCUUGAAUAUCAGCUGCAUGGCCUGGAGCUCCAUAGACACUUGACUUGCUGCGCUGCGCACAGAGACAUGACAGUGAAUCUUAUACUCGGCUUUAGAUGCCAUCAGAAUAAAUUCAGAGAAUAAGGCGUUCAGAGCAGCUGGUGGUAGCAAAUCAAUGGCUUGAUUAAUAUGUGGGAAGGCUUCUGGGGUUCGGAAGUCUUUCCCAGCACAAACUCAAGGCCAAACCCAGGAUCACUGCAGACAUUGCACAAAGCCUGUCACUGAGAGUGGGACACUUCCAGCACAAGGGGUCAUAUGUGGAGUUUGAAUCCUUUUGCAUCUGACUCGGCUAUUGUGCCAUUGUACAAAAAACCCCUGCCUUUUGCAUCCUGUUCCACCGCUUAUAGACGCUUCUCAAUGACAGGCAGUGAGGCAGGCACAUUGGCAGGGGUGACUCUAGAGCAACUAGCUUGCGGCAGAAAAAGGGGUGGUAAAGGACGUUAUUAGUGGAGUGGGGAUUUUGCUAUACAUUGAGGUCAUUCACACAAUCACAAUCUAUGUUCUACCCGGGUUUGGGAGCUGUGUGCUCCCAAUUUUCGGUUGUGUCGA